UACGGAGGGUGCGAGCGUUGUUCGGAAUCACUGGGCGUAAAGGGCGUGUAGGCGGUCCGCUAAGUCUGAUGUGAAAGCCCGGGGCUCACCCCCGGAAGUGCAUUGGAAACUGGCGGACUCGAGUCCCGGAGAGGAGAGUGGAAUUCCUGGUGUAGCGGUGAAAUGCGUAGAUAUCAGGAGGAACACCAAUUGCGAAGGCAGCUCGCUGGGACGUGACUGACGCUGAGACGCGAAAGCGUGGGGAGCAAACAGG
rnacentral:rRNA from 1 species